rnacentral:rRNA from 1 species
UACGGAGGGUGCAAGCGUUAUCCGGAUUCACUGGGUUUAAAGGGUGCGUAGGUGGGUUGGUAAGUCAGUGGUGAAAUCCCCGAGCUUAACUUGGGAACUGCCAUUGAUACUAUCAAUCUUGAAUACCGUGGAGGUUAGCGGAAUAUGUCAUGUAGCGGUGAAAUGCUUAGAUAUGACAUAGAACACCAAUUGCGAAGGCAGCUGGCUACACGAAUAUUGACACUGAUGCACGAAAGCGUGGGGAUCAAACAGG